UACGGAGGGAGCUAGCGUUAUUCGGAAUUACUGGGCGUAAAGAGCGCGCAGGCGGUCGUUCAAGUCGAGUGUGAAAGCCCCCGGCUCAACUGGGGAGGGUCACUCGAUACUGAUCGACUCGAAGGCAGGAGAGGGAAGCGGAAUUCCCGGUGUAGUGGUGAAAUGCGUAGAUAUCGGGAGGAACACCAGUGGCGAAGGCGGCUUUCUGGCCUGUUCUUGACGCUGAGGCGCGAAAGCUAGGGUAGCAAACGGGG
rnacentral:rRNA from 1 species